UGUUAAAAAUUCAUUCAUUUGUAUUGUUAAAAAUUGGUGUGGUUAACGGAAUAAUCAAACAAUGAUACAUGAUUAGUUACGUGUACCUUAUGCUGAUGUACAAGAAUUAGUUUUAAAUAAUAAAAAUGGAUGAAAUUUUUAACA
rfam:Gossypium arboreum cultivar AKA8401 contig_3486_1, whole genome shotgun sequence.